rnacentral:tRNA from 1 species
GCCGUGAUGGUAUAGUGGUUAGUACUCUGCGUUGUGGCCGCCAGCACCCCGGUUCCGAAUCCGGGUCCGCGGCA